rnacentral:lncRNA from 1 species
AAAGAGACAGGAGAAGGGGAAAGUGACGGACGGAAUGUGGCCCCUGAGGAAAUGAGAGGGGGUGAAAUCCAGAGCCCAGGUGGAAGGGUCUGCCUCGGCUGAGAGGAGGGAAGCAGAAGGAAGGAGAAAGGCCAGGCUAAGGUGGAGGCAGUCAGCUCUAUCAGUGGAAAAGACCACACAGUGCCUAAAGACCAGGAACCCAGAGUCACUGAGGCCAUCUUGGAGGCUGUCUACCACAGCAUGACUCACAAAGACAGCCAGAAAUGGAUUUGCAGGAUCAGGGCAUAGCUCAGUGAGAUACUUAGGAGAUCACAGGGGAAGCUAAAAGUGACGUUGGCCUGGCUGACUCUGAGGAUAAAAGCCAGGAGCCUGGAGGUGGGGAUGGGGGAAGGUGAGCUGAGCAGAGUUGGAAAGCUUCUGUCAGAGGGACCUUACCAACGCCUUUCACUCCCAAGAAGCUUUCCUCAUCAUUUACUCCCCUUGUUAUGAUGGCGUCAAGUUCAUCUCUUGCUGUUUGGCUUUAAGAAGAUGAGUGGAUUGAAUAAUGUCCUCCCUCAAAAUUCAUGUGCACCUGGAGGUCGGCUGCACAUGUGACCUCAUUUGGAAAGGAAAUAGGGUCUUUGUAGAUAUAAUUAAGGUAAGGAUCAAAAUGAGAACAUACUAGGUUGGAGUAAGCCCUAAAUCCCAUGAGUGUCCUCACUAGAGAUAGAACAGAGAGCCAUAGAGCAGGAGGUGAUGUGAAGAAGGAGGCAGAGAUUGGGGUGAUGCCUCUACCAGUUGAGGAGCACCAAGGAUUGCCAACAGCCACCAGAAAGUAGGAGAGAGGCACGGGGCAGAUUGUCCCACAGAGCCUCCAGGAGGGACCAGCCCCUUCUGACCACCUGCAUGUCAUACUUCUUGUCUUCUGAGCUGUGAGAGAAUACAUUUCCAUUGUUUCAGGCCACCUGGUUUGAGG